AUUUCGUCGUAUGCUCGUUCGGUUGUUCGUUUGCUGUUUGUUUGUUUUUAUUGGAUUACAUUCUAAUUGCUUCCAGUUGUCAAUCAUUAGCAAUUAUAGUUUAAUUCUAUCGAAUUAAUUUACUAUUUGUAGAUAAAAAACAAUCUAGUGACGCGAUAUUUAGCGCAAAACAUUGAAAUCUUUUGCUUCCAAGAUGUGUUCGACCUGUGGAACUAUCUUUGUAUGCUGUCUCAUAUUCGCGAUCGCGAUCGCUGUCGCUAUCUACUAUGGUGUAUUCAACGUCGAUGACUCAGCUCCCGAGGUAGGGAACUUUAUCAAAAAGACUGGUGAUCAGAUCAAGUAUGGAAUAAAGGAUGGUAUCAAAAAGCUAGACGACUAAUUUCAUUGAAUUUGAACGAUGAGAAUACGAUUACAGAUAUUCACUACAACAGUUCACUUCAAUGGCUUAAAUUAUUACAAAUGAAACGAAACAGAAAAAAACUAUUUUGAUAUUUGUAUUUGUUCUACUAGCAUCACAUCUCGAAUAAAUGGUCGAAGUAUCUCCAAUUGAAUUUUAAAUAAAUCCUCGACGCUAGGUAGAUAUUAAAUUAUCUUAAUUAUUCAUAAAUACGAAACCAGUCUACAAGUAUGAGACAUUUUUGUCUCCAUUUAAACCCACCCAAACGGCGUGAAUCAAUCGCGAUAUUUUAAAAAUGUUUAUAUAAACAUAUGUGAAAAUAAACCGAGCCCUUUACUUUUA